GAUGAACGCUGGCGGCGUGCCUAAUGCAUGCAAGUCGAGCGAACAGAUGAGGAGCUUGCUCCUCUGACGUUAGCGGCGGACGGGUGAGUAACACGUGGAUAACCUACCUAUAAGACUGGGAUAACUUCGGGAAACCGGAGCUAAUACCGGAUAAUAUAUUGAACCGCAUGGUUCAAUAGUGAAAGACGGUUUUGCUGUCACUUAUAGAUGGAUCCGCGCCGCAUUAGCUAGUUGGUAAGGUAACGGCUUACCAAGGCAACGAUGCGUAGCCGACCUGAGAGGGUGAUCGGCCACACUGGAACUGAGACACGGUCCAGACUCCUACGGGAGGCAGCAGUAGGGAAUCUUCCGCAAAGGGCGAAAGCCUGACGGAGCAACGCCGCGUGAGUGAUGAAGGUCUUCGGAUCGUAAAACUCUGUUAUUAGGGAAGAACAAAUGUGUAAGUAACUAUGCACGUCUUGACGGUACCUAAUCAGAAAGCCACGGCUAACUACGUG
rnacentral:rRNA from 1 species